rnacentral:rRNA from 1 species
UUAAAUUGAAGAGUUUGAUCAUGGCUCAGAUUGAACGCUGGCGGCAGGCCUAACACAUGCAAGUCGAACGGUAACAGGAAGCAGCUUGCUGCUUUGCUGACGAGUGGCGGACGGGUGAGUAAUGUCUGGGAAACUGCCUGAUGGAGGGGGAUAACUACUGGAAACGGUGGCUAAUACCGCAUAACGUCGCAAGACCAAAGAGGGGGACCUUCGGGCCUCUUGCCAUCAGAUGUGCCCAGAUGGGAUUAGCUUGUUGGUGAGGUAACGGCUCACCAAGGCGACGAUCCCUAGCUGGUCUGAGAGGAUGACCAGCCACACUGGAACUG